AGAGUUUGAUCCUGGCUCAGGAUGAACGCUGGCGGCGUGCCUAACACAUGCAAGUCGAGCGAUUUACUUCGGUAAAGAGCGGCGGACGGGUGAGUAACGCGUGGGUAACCUGCCCUAUACACACGGAUAACAUACCGAAAGGUAUGCUAAUACGAGAUGACAUAAGAGAUUCGCAUGGAUUUCUUAUCAAAGCUUUUGCGGUAUAGGAUGGACCCGCGUCUGAUUAGCUAGUUGGUAAGGUAACGGCUUACCAAGGCGACGAUCAGUAGCCGACCUGAGAGGGUGAUCGGCCACAUUGGAACUGAGACACGGUCCAAACUCCUACGGGAGGCAGCAGUGGGGAAUAUUGCACAAUGGGCGAAAGCCUGAUGCAGCAACGCCGCGUGAGCGAUGAAGGCCUUCGGGUCGUAAAGCUCUGUCCUCAAGGAAGAUAAUGACGGUACUUGAGGAGGAAGCCCCGGCUAACUACGUGCCAGCAGCCGCGGUAAUACGUAGGGGGCUAGCGUUAUCCGGAAUUACUGGGCGUAAAGGGUGCGUAGGUGGUUUCUUAAGUCAGAGGUGAAAGGCUACGGCUCAACCGUAGUAAGCCUUUGAAACUGAGAAACUUGAGUGCAGGAGAGGAGAGUAGAAUUCCUAGUGUAGCGGUGAAAUGCGUAGAUAUUAGGAGGAAUACCAGUUGCGAAGGCGGCUCUCUGGACUGUAACUGACACUGAGGCACGAAAGCGUGGGGAGCAAACAGGAUUAGAUACCCUGGUAGUCCACGCCGUAAACGAUGAGUACUAGCUGUCGGAGGUUACCCCCUUCGGUGGCGCAGCUAACGCAUUAAGUACUCCGCCUGGGAAGUACGCUCGCAAGGGUGAAACUCAAAGGAAUUGACGGGGACCCGCACAAGUAGCGGAGCAUGUGGUUUAAUUCGAAGCAACGCGAAGAACCUUACCUAAGCUUGACAUCCUUCUGACCUCUCCCUAAUCGGAGAUUUCCCUUCGGGGACAGAAGUGACAGGUGGUGCAUGGUUGUCGUCAGCUCGUGUCGUGAGAUGUUGGGUUAAGUCCCGCAACGAGCGCAACCCUUGCCUUUAGUUGCCAGCAUUAAGUUGGGCACUCUAGAGGGACUGCCAGGGAUAACCUGGAGGAAGGUGGGGAUGACGUCAAAUCAUCAUGCCCCUUAUGCUUAGGGCUACACACGUGCUACAAUGGGUGGUACAGAGGGCAGCCAAGUCGUGAGGCGGAGCUAAUCCCUUAAAGCCAUUCUCAGUUCGGAUUGUAGGCUGAAACUCGCCUACAUGAAGCUGGAGUUACUAGUAAUCGCAGAUCAGAAUGCUGCGGUGAAUGCGUUCCCGGGUCUUGUACACACCGCCCGUCACACCAUGGGAGUUGGGGGCGCCCGAAGCCGGUUAGCUAACCUUUUAGGAAGUGGCCGUCGAAGGUGAAACCAAUAACUGGGGUGAAGUCGUAACAAGGUA
rnacentral:rRNA from 1 species